CUGGGUGCUCACUUCAGCAGUAUAAAAUUGCAAUGAAGAUUACCAUGGCCCUUGUGCAAGGACGACACACAAAUUCAUGAAGCAUUCCAUACGUUU
rnacentral:snRNA from 1 species